UACCAGCACCCCGAGUGGUCGGGACGAUUAUUGGGCCUAAAGCAUCCGUAGCCGGUUUUACAAGUCCCCCGUUAAAUCCAGCUGCUUAACAGAUGGGCUGCGGAGGAUACUAUAAGACUAGGAGGCAGGAAAGGCAAGCGGUACUCAGUGGGUAGGGGUAAAAUCCGUUGAUCCAUUGAAGACCACCAGUGGCGAAGGCGGCUUGCCAGAAUGCGCUCGACGGUGAGGGAUGAAAGCUGGGGGAGCAAACCGG
rnacentral:rRNA from 1 species